rnacentral:lncRNA from 10 species
GAAAGUCAUACUUCAAUCCUCCAGAAUAGAUUACUUCUGAUUUGAAAGGAUACAUUUCUUAGGGAAAUCAGUGCAUUGGUUACAUGAAAACCGUGUGACAACCUUGGAAGUCUGAAAGAGCAGGAGAGAGGCUAAGCACACACAUAUUGUGAUUUUAAGAGUCUCAAGGUGAGAAGAAACAUCAGAAGCAGUUGAGAGACCAGGACGUGGGUCCUCAAAGGAUGAACAGAAGUUCUUUUGGAUAACAUUUUAAAAUGUUUCCUCCAGAGUUAUCUGCCUCAUUAACAAUGGUUUGAGUCUCAAGAGUCUCUCUUCGAUUUUACAAACAUGAUUUGUUGCUCUGCUAUAAAUGCAUGCUGCUCUAGUCCUUCAAUAAACCCACAACAUGUUUUCACC